ACGCCUACGGGGGGCAGCAGUGGGGGAUAUUGGACAAUGGGGGGAACCCUGAUCCAGCGACGCCGCGUGAGUGAAGAAGUAUUUCGGUAUGUAAAGCUCUGUCAGCAGGGAAGAAAGCAAUGACGGUACCUGACCAAGAAGCCCCGGCUAACUACGUGCCAGCAGCCGCGGUAAUACGUAGGGGGCAAGCGUUAUCCGGAAUUACUGGGUGUAAAGGGAGCGUAGACGGCUGCGCAAGUCUGGAGUGAAAUGCCGGGGCUCAACCCCGGAACUGCUUUGGAAACUGUGCAGCUAGAGUGCGGGAG
rnacentral:rRNA from 1 species